UACGAAGGGGGCUAGCGUUGCUCGGAAUCACUGGGCGUAAAGCGUGCGCAGGCGGUUUGCUAAGACAGGUGUGAAAUCCCCGGGCUUAACCUGGGAACUGCGCUUGUAACUGGCAAGCUAGAGUGUGGCAGAGGGGGGUGGAAUUCCACGUGUAGCAGUGAAAUGCGUAGAGAUGUGGAGGAACACCGAUGGCGAAGGCAGCCCCCUGGGCUAACACUGACGCUCAUGCACGAAAGCGUGGGGAGCAAACAGG
rnacentral:rRNA from 1 species